rnacentral:rRNA from 1 species
AACGAACGCUGGCGGCAUGCCUAACACAUGCAAGUCGAACGAGACCUUCGGGUCUAGUGGCGCACGGGUGCGUAACGCGUGGGAACCUGCCUUUAGGUUCGGAAUAACUCCCCGAAAGGGGUGCUAAUACCGGAUAAUGUCUUCGGACCAAAGAUUUAUCGCCUUUGGAUGGGCCCGCGUUGGAUUAGCUAGUUGGUAGGGUAAAAGCCUACCAAGGCGACGAUCCAUAGCUGGUCUGAGAGGAUGAUCAGCCACACUGGGACUGAGACACGGCCCAGACUCCUACGGGAGGCAGCAGUGGGGAAUAUUGGAAAAUGGGCGAAAGCCUGAUCCAGCAAUGCCGCGUGAGUGAUGAAGGCCUUAGGGUUGUAAAGCUCUUUUACCCGGGAUGAUAAUGACAGUACCGGGAGAAUAAGCUCCGGCUAACUCCGUG